UCUUUUUCCAUCUCUCCUCUCAUAUUCUACUCACGGGUAUUCAGAGAUGAAUGGAUAGUACCAACAUUUUGAGCAUGCCUUCCCCCAACGCUACAACAGAAAAAUACACCCUGUGGCUUUUGGUAGACCUGUCCUGGACUGAACAACUAGUCACUGCUCAACACCCAGCAAGGCACCCCAUCUUCUUAAGGGGUUCCCAGCAAAGAUCCAGCCUCAGACAGAGAGUCCACAAAGAAGGCUGGAACACAGGAACAACAGGCACUCUCACACCCUGCCCACUGCACUGCCCCGCAUUCUAAGACCUCUCUGGAAUGGUGGCGAUGAGUCAUCUGAAGAGCAAGAGGGGGAGGUUGAUAGUGAAGUGGAGUUUCCAAGGAGACAAAGACCUCAUCGCUGUAUGAGCAGCUUCCAGUCCUACUCUACCUUCAGCUCAGAGAACAUGUCAGUGUCUAACAGAGAGGAGGGAAACCCCAGCGACCACGCCCACAGCGGGCCCCUGGAGAGGCUGCGCACCAGUCAGGAGGAGCACCUGGAUGAGCUGCUGUCGCAAACACCAGACAUCCCUGUCGACUUCUCCACCCAGUCACACAGUGUCUCUGACAAGGAGUGUGUUGCU